rnacentral:rRNA from 1 species
UGCCAUCAGCCGCGGUAAGACGGGAGAUGCAAGCGUUAUUCGGAUUUAUUGGGUUUAAAGGGUCCGCAGGCUGUUUGUUAAGUCAGAGGUGAAAUCCUACCGCUCAACGGUAGAACUGCCUUUGAUACUGGCAAACUUGAGUUAUUGUGAAGUAGUUAGAAUGUGUAGUGUAGCGGUGAAAUGCACAGAUAUUACACAGAAUACCGAUUGCGAAAGCAGAUUACUAACAAUAUACUGACGCUGAGGGACGAAAGCGUGGGUAGCGAACAGGAUUAGAUA